UCAAAUAGCCUGUAGUUCCCCACUCCGGGUGAAUCAAUGAAUGAGUGAAUGAAAAUGCUGAAAAUUCAAAGCUGAGUUGAAGCUGGAGCUGGAGGCCUGCUCCAGUCAUCCAGUCCUUGGAAGAUUCAAUGGAAAAACAUAUUUUAUAAGGACAAGAUUUCGGAAAUCCUGAUGUGUUAACCUGUAUUCAGUGUCUCACUGAACAGUGAUUCCUGGGAAACGGGGGACCAGGUUUUGUGUCUCCCCCCUGCAUCUGUGGGCUAUUCACAGUGUACACAGUUGAUGCUCAGUCAUUAUCCCUUCACUUGAUCCAGCAUUUCAGACCUUUUGGAGAAACCCAGCUGCUAGGUUUACAGGGACACCAUGACCUGGCCUACGGGGACGGCUGCAAGAACAAAGAAUGCCUGCAGCAAGAAGAUUGCAGCAAUCAACCAUACCCUCUCCCUUGUUUUGUUUUGUUUUGUUUUGUUUUGUUUUGUUUUGUUUUGUUUUGUUUUGUUUGUAUAAAAGGAGCUUGUAUUCUGACUAGAGGGUGAUGGUUCUCCAAGACAUUAGUUGGCCAUCCUCUCAGUCUGCCGGCUUUCCAAAUAAAGUUGCUAUUCCUUGCCCCAAUACCUUGUCUCCCGAUUUAUUGGUCUGCCGUGCGGCGAGCAGAAUGAGUUUGGACUCGGCAACAAUCCCAGACCCUU